rnacentral:rRNA from 1 species
ACUCAAAUGAAUAGACGGGGACUUGCACAAGCGGUGGAUCAUGCGGCUCAAUUCGAUGGCAAACGAAGAACCUCACCAGGAUUAGACAUCCAGACGAUCGCUCUAGGAAACUAGAGCUUCCGCAAGGCGGCUGGACAGGUGAUGCAUGGUCGUCGUCAGUUCGUGGCUUGAGUUGUUCCCUUCAGUGGGGUAACGAACGCAACCCUCGUUGCCUGUUUUACAUGUCAGGCGAGACUGCCCCCUCACGGGGGAGGAAGGUGAGGAUGACGCCAGAUCAGCAUGUCCCUCUGAUAUCCUGGGCUGCACGCAUGAUACAAUGCACUCGACAACAAGGCGCAAUACCGCAAGGUGGAGCAAAUCUUUUAAACGAGUGCCCAGUUCGGAUUGAGGUCUGCAACUCGACCUCAUGAAGCCGGAAUCGCUAGUAAUCGCGGGUCAGCUAUACCGCGGUGAAUACGUUCUCAAGUCUUGUACACACCGCCCGU